CUCAUCAACAUUAAGAGGUCAUGUACACUGUGGUCAACUUGUGGACGCUGAAGAGGUUUCUGGAGAAAUAUAAUGAAGUAACAGUGGAAGCUAAAACAUCAAACUGAUCCAGACACUGAAGAAAUUGAUGUCACUGCAAUCUGGCCAAAAUGAUACAACUAUAUUGAAGUAGCCUACUGUAAUGAAGCUGCAGAACGUCACAGAGACUCUGAGGACAUCAACACAGAAUAUCAAGGCUCCCAAGAGAUGUCUGUCCAGAUGAGGGUGCAUCAACGUUACCUUUGCUGACAAGUAUAUGCUUUACAAUGUAAAACCUAACAGUUAACUUAACUCAAACCAUUUAAGGAAAUUGGUUGCCUUAAAUCAUUAAGUUUUAAAAAAACAUACAUUUGAGUACUGUGAACUUAAGUCUUGUGCAAUUAUGCACUUAUAUUUAGGUAGUGUGAACUUAAAUAUAAGUGCUUAACUGCAUGUGACUCAAUUUGUUUAAGUUCACAGUACUCAAAUCUAUGUGUUUUAAAACUUGAAUGGUUUAAUGCAACCGGUUUUCUUAAAUGUGAGAAAUUACAGUGUUACAGUGAGAAAUGUUUGAAUAAUUCCAAGACAGAGCUCUGUGAUUGAUUCUACACUGCAAAAAUCACUUUCUAACACUUUUUAUCUUGUUUUCAGUAGAAAAACUAAAAAUUCUUAAAUCAAGAUGUAUUUUCUUGAUGAGCAAAAUUACCUUAGAAAAUAUGUCUAGUUUUUAGACAAAAAUAUACAAUUUAAGAUAAUUUGUGCCUAAACAAGCAAAAAUAUCUAACAAUGGGGUGAGAAAAUUGUGUUUUAAUUAAGUUUUUAAGAAAAAAGAAAACUUAAGAUUUUUUUCUCACACUAUUGGCAGAUAUUUUUGCUUGUUUUAAGUACAAAUUCACUUAAUACACAGACACACACACAUUAUUUAUUUGGUCUAAAACUAGACUUAUUUUCUUGGGUCAUUUUGUUCCUCAAGAAAAAGCAUUUUAAUUUAAAUAAUAUUUCUACAGAAAACAAGACAAAAAUACUAUGUAAGAAAGUCAUUUUUUGCAGUGUAGGACUAAUUUCUUUAGAUUAUUUAGAUAUUUACUACAUUACAGUGGCAGCUGGUGACUUCUUUUUUUUGUGAGCACUCAAUGCGAAGUUUGUCACAACAUGUAUAUAGCCCGUCAUUUGUGUGGUUCCCAAUUUCAAAAUAUGUGUUCUGUGUGUCGAGUGCGUGUAUGUGCAUCACGUGUUUUGACUAAACACGUGAUGCACGUGGUUUACAUGAAGCAACAAACACAUAUUUUAAAAACACAAGCAACACGCGUGACACUCUGAACACUUAUUUUGAAUUUGCAACCCUCGGAUGAGCAGUCACGAGCAGCCACUGCUACAUUACAUUGUACUGCUUUGAAUGUAGUUUUCAUUGUUGCUUUUAUUUUGUUUUAUUUUACUCUAAUAUUGCUUUCUCUGUCUGUAUAUUUAUGAGUUUAAAUGGUAUUGUUUAUGUAUGCAACUUUUAAUAUUUGUGUAUUAUAUUAUUUUGUGAUUGUGACAAUUGUGGAUUGUUCAGUUUUUUAUUAAAUAAACAUUUCAAACUCAA